CUUCGGAGAGCCACCCGUAAUUUCGGGUAAUGGAGAGCAUCGAGGUCAUGAGCGCCGACGCGGUGGCGCUGUGCAUCGGCAUCAGCGACUCCGCACAGAAGCUCAACUCCACUGGGGACCUGAGGAUGCGGGGAGCGGCGGGCCUCAGAUUCGGGAGACGGAAGGGGGAGGAUUGCGCGGGGCGAGGACCGGAGGCAAACCUCGCGGGGACACUGCGGAGGGAGGAGG
rnacentral:misc_RNA from 1 species